rnacentral:tRNA from 1 species
GGAGGGGUGCCACAGUGGUCUAUUGGGACCGACUGAAAAUCGGUUGAGCGCUCCUAAACCCAGUGGCUCCGUGGGUUCGAAUCCCAUCCCCUCCG